UUUCGGAUAUUUUUGACCUUAAGCCACCCUUUGCGCCGCCACCCACGGCCAACCAUUACUACCACUAGCUUUACCGACAUCCCUAGGCCCUACCCUAUCAAUCUCAGGUCUUCGUUUGCACCCGUUGAAAAGUGGGUAUCUGUGACCCACGGCCAUAGUGUAUUUUGCACUGUUCUGCAGUUGUUUUUCCACUUCUUGCGCUUCCGUGAUCCUCCAAAAAUUAUUAUAUAGCAUUAUGAUUUGAAUGUUUCAGUUGAGGAUCAAGGAUAUGGAGCAUGGGUGAGAAGAGUUAGAAUGAUGGUUUAAGCAUAGAAGAUUUAUAUGGGUAUUGAAAGUUUUCAUUCAGUAAGCUUGUUGGGUUCUGAUGUUGUGAUUUGUUGGGAGAUUGAUGUUUAUAUUAAGAUUUUGUAUUGUCUUAGAAUAGUUAUUCUGGAGUAAGUGAUGUAAAUAUAUGAGUAUUUUGUGCGAU